rnacentral:rRNA from 1 species
GCCUAACACAUGCAAGUCGAACGGUAACAUUUCUAGCUUGCUAGAAGAUGACGAGUGGCGGACGGGUGAGUAAUGCUUGGGAACUUGCCUUUGCGAGGGGGAUAACAGUUGGAAACGACUGCUAAUACCGCAUAAUGUCUUCGGACCAAACGGGGCUUCGGCUCCGGCGCAAAGAGAGGCCCAAGUGAGAUUAGCUAGUUGGUAAGGUAACGGCUUACCAAGGCGACGAUCUCUAGCUGUUCUGAGAGGAAGAUCAGCCACACUGGGACUGAGACACGGCCCAGACUCCUACGGGAGGCAGCAGUGGGGAAUAUUGCACAAUGGGGGGAACCCUGAUGCAGCCAUGCCGUGUGUGUGAAGAAGGCCUUCGGGUUGUAAAGCACUUUCAGUUGUGAGGAAAAGUUAGUAGUUAAUACCUGCUAGCCGUGACGUUAACAACAGAAGAAGCACCGGCUAACUCCGUGCCAGCCGCCGCGGUAAUA